AACGAACGCUGGCGGCAUGCCUAACACAUGCAAGUCGAACGAGACCUUCGGGUCUAGUGGCGCACGGGUGCGUAACGCGUGGGAACCUGCCCUUAGGUUCGGAAUAACUCCCCGAAAGGGGUGCUAAUACCGGAUAAUGUCUUCGGACCAAAGAUUUAUCGCCUUUGGAUGGGCCCGCGUUGGAUUAGCUAGUUGGUAGGGUAAAAGCCUACCAAGGCGACGAUCCAUAGCUGGUCUGAGAGGAUGAUAAGCCACACUGGGACUGAGACACGGCCCAGACUACUACGGGAGGCAGCAGUGGGGAAUAUUGGAAAAUGGGCGAAAGCCUGAUCAAGCAAUGCCGGGUGAGUGAUGAAGGCCUUAGGGUUGUAAAGCUCUUUUACCCGGGAUGAUAAUGACAGUACCGGGAGAAUAAGCUCCGGCUAACUCCGUG
rnacentral:rRNA from 1 species